rnacentral:rRNA from 1 species
CAGGACGAACGCUGGCGGCGUGCCUAAUACAUGCAAGUCGAACGCACUGACGUCGACAGAAGGUGCUUGCACUGGAAGUUGAUUGACGUGAGUGGCGGACGGGUGAGUAACACGUGGGUAACCUGCCCUUAAGCGGGGGAUAACAUUUGGAAACAGAUGCUAAUACCGCAUAAAAGUUGAGAUCACAUGGUCUUAAUUUGAAAGACGGCCUUUGGCUGUCACUUAAGGAUGGACCCGCGGCGUAUUAGCUAGUUGGUGAGAUAAUAGCCCACCAAGGCGAUGAUACGUAGCCGACCUGAGAGGGUAAUCGGCCACAUUGGGACUGAGACACGGCCCAAACUCCUACGGGAGGCGGCAGUAGGGAAUCUUCCACAAUGGACGAAAGUCUGAUGGAGCAACGCCGCGUGAGUGAAGAAGGUUUUCGGAUCGUAAAACUCUGUUGUUGGAGAAGAACAGGGACUAGAGUAACUGUUAGUCCUUUGACGGUAUCCAACCAGAAAGCCACGGCUAACUACGUGCCAGCAGCCGCGGUAAUACGUAGGUGGCAAGCGUUGUCCGGAUUUAUUGGGCGUAAAGCGAGCGCAGGCGGUUUCUUAAGUCUGAUGUGAAAGCCUUCGGCUUAACCGAAGAAGUGCAUCAGAUACUGGGAAACUUGAGUGCAGAAGAGGAAAGUGGAACUCCAUGUGUAGCGGUGAAAUGCGUAGAUAUAUGGAAGAACACUAGUGGCGAAGGCGGCUUUCUGGUCUGUAACUGACGCUGAGGCUCGAAAGUAUGGGGAGCGAACAGGAUUAGAUACCCUGGUAGUCCAUACCGUAAACGAUGAAUGCUAAGUGUUGGAGGGUUUCCGCCCUUCAGUGCUGCAGCUAACGCAUUAAGCAUUCCGCCUGGGGAGUACGACCGCAAGGUUGAAACUCAAAGGAAUUGACGGGGGCCCGCACAAGCGGUGGAGCAUGUGGUUUAAUUCGAAGCUACGCGAAGAACCUUACCAGGUCUUGACAUCUAGCGCCAAUCCUAGAGAUAGGACGUUCCCUUCGGGGACGCUAAGACAGGUGGUGCAUGGUUGUCGUCAGCUCGUGUCGUGAGAUGUUGGGUUAAGUCCCGCAACGAGCGCAACCCUUAUGAUUAGUUGCCAGCAUUUAGUUGGGCACUCUAAUCAGACUGCCGGUGACAAAC